GUUUCAAUAGCUUAAUUUAAAGCCUUACAUUGAAGCUGUAAUGAUGAUGUAUUUAUCUUGAGACA
rnacentral:tRNA from 1 species